rnacentral:rRNA from 1 species
UACGUAGGGACCGAGCGUUGUCCGGAAUCAUUGGGCGUAAAGAGCGUGUAGGCGGCCACUUAAGUCCUGCGUGAAAUCUUGCGGCUCAACCGCAAGCGGUCGUGGGAAACUGGGUGGCUAGAGUGCGGGAGAGGAGAGUGGAAUUCCUGGUGUAGCGGUGGAAUGCGUAGAGAUCGGGAGGAAGGCCGGUGGCGAAGGCGGCGCUCUGGAACAUUUCUGACGCUGAGGCUCGAAAGCGUGGGGAGCAAACAGG